rnacentral:rRNA from 1 species
GCUGCGGCAUGCCUAACACAUGCAAGUCGAACGGAAACAGGACGCUGUGAUCUCUUCGGAGUGAACUUGUCGCUGUCGAGUGGCGGACGGGUGAGUAAUGCAUAGGAAUUUGCCUCGAAGUGGGGGAUAGCCCGGAGAAAUCCGGAUUAAUACCGCAUGUGCUCUACGGAGCAAAGUGGGCCUCUGAUUUAAGCUCACGCUUUGAGAUAAGCCUAUGUCGGAUUAGCUAGUUGGUAGGGUAAAAGCCUACCAAGGCGACGAUCCGUAGCUGGUUUGAGAGGAUGAUCAGCCACACUGGGACUGAGACACGGCCCAGACUCCUACGGGAGGCAGCAGUGGGGAAUAUUGGACAAUGGGCGCAAGCCUGAUCCAGCAAUGCCGCGUGUGUGAAGAAGGCCUGCGGGUUGUAAAGCACUUUUAUCGGGAAAGAAAAUCACAGGGUUAAUACCCCUGUGCCUUGACGGUACCCGAAGAAUAAGCACCGGCUAACUCANUGCCAGCAGCCGCGGUAAU